rnacentral:rRNA from 1 species
AUUGAACGCUGGCGGCAGGCCUAACACAUGCAAGUCGAACGAGUGGCGGACGGGUGAGUAAUGUCUGGGAAACUGCCCGAUGGAGGGGGAUAACUACUGGAAACGGUAGCUAAUACCGCAUACCAUCGGAUGUGCCCAGAUGGGAUUAGCUAGUAGGUGGGGUAACGGCUCCCCUCGGCGACGAUCCCUCGCUGGUCUGAGGGGAUGACGGGCCACACUGGACCUGGGACACGGUCCGACCUCCUACGGGAGGCAGCAGUGGGGAAUAUUGGACAAUGGGCGCAAGCCUGAUGCAGACAGGCGGCGUAGAUGAAGAAGGCCUUCGGGUUGUAAAGUACUUUCAGCGAGGAGGCGUUACUCGCAGAAGAAGCACCGGCUAACUCCGUGCCAGCAGCCGCGGUAAUAC